rnacentral:rRNA from 1 species
UACCAGCACCCCGAGCGGUCGGGACGAUUAUUGGGCCUAAAGCAUCCGUAGCCGGUCUUGCAAGUCUUCCGUUAAAUCCAGCUGCUUAACAGAUGGGCUGCGGAAGAUACUACAAGACUAGGAGGUGGGAGAGGCAAGCGGUACUCAGUGGGUAGGGGUAAAAUCCUCUGAUCCAUUGAAGACCACCAGUGGCGAAGGCGGCUUGCCAGAACGCGCUCGACGGUGAGGGAUGAAAGCUGGGGGAGCAAACCGG